rnacentral:rRNA from 1 species
AAUGAACGCUGGCGGCAGGCCUAACACAUGCAAGUCGAACGGAUCCUUCGGGAUUAGUGGCGGACGGGUGAGUAACGCGUGGGAACAUACCCUUUGGUACGGAAUAGCCUCGGGAAACUGGGAGUAAUACCGUAUGUGCUCUUCGGAGGAAAGAUUUAUCGCCAAAGGAUUGGCCCGCGUUGGAUUAGGUAGUUGGUGGGGUAAUGGCCUACCAAGCCGACGAUCCAUAGCUGGUUUGAGAGGAUGAUCAGCCACACUGGGACUGAGACACGGCCCAGACUCCUACGGGAGGCAGCAGUGGGGAAUCUUGGACAAUGGGCGAAAGCCUGAUCCAGCAAUGCCGCGUGAGUGAUGAAGGCCUUAGGGUUGUAAAGCUCUUUUACCCGGGAUGAUAAUGACAGUACCGGGAGAAUAAGCCCCGGCUAACUCCGUGCCAGCAGCCGCGGUAAUCUGAGUCGGAGAC